GAUUAAGCCAUGCAUGUCUAAGUAUAAACGAUUUAAUCGUGAAACCGCGAAUGGCUCAUUAUAACAGCUAUAAUUUACUUGAUCUUGACACAAUCCUACUUGGAUAACUGUGGUAAUUCUAGAGCUAAUACAUGCAUUAAAGCUCUGACCUCACGGGAAGAGUGCAUUUAUUAGAACAAAACCAAGCGGCUUCGGCUGUUUCUGGUUGACUCAUAGUAACUGAGCUGAUCGCAUGGUCUUGCACCGGCGACGUGUCUUUCAAGUAUCUGCCGUAUCAACUUUCGAUGGUAGUGUAUCUGACUACCAUGGUGAUCACGCGUAACGGAGAAUAAGGGUUCGGCUCCGGAGAGUUCGCCUGAGAAAUCGCGAACACAUCUAAGGAAGGCAGCAGGCGCGAAAAUUACCCACUCUCAGCACGAGGAGGUAGUGACGAAAAAUAACGAGACCGUUCUCUUAUGAGGCCGGUCAUCGGAAUGGGUACAAGUUAAACCCUUUAACGAGUAUCUAGAGA
rnacentral:rRNA from 1 species